UUUUUCGUGCAUGACAAAGUAGGUGAACUUGCAAGUUAUCAGAGGAUGAAAUGGCUCUCCCUUUGUGUCAUGGAAGUUAAAUAGAUAAUUGUCAUCCUAGUGUUUAUUCUUCUGUCAAAGUGAAGCAAGCAAUCUCAUUAAUUAUCUUCUUUUUUAUUUUUGUUUUCUUGACCUUCAUUUCUCCUGUCCUCCUCUCGUUUCUGUAAUAUAAGGUUGAUUUGUUGAAGAAUAAGUUUGGCUUUGAUGAUGCUUUCAACUACAAAGAAGAGUUGGACUUGGAUGCAGCUUUGAAAAGGUUAGCGGUACAAUUUGCUUAAACCGGACCUGUGGUGGUAAAAUGGAACCCUACUAAAAAAAAAUUGUAUACAACAGUAAGAUGUUAGGAAAAAAAAAUUAACAUCUGUUUCAAGCUGUGAAAGAAGGCAUCUAAAACUGGUUAAAGAAAGAGCUGAUGGAUUUUAUAUGGUCUGCUUUAUUGCCUUGAAAUUCGGAUUCACUAGGCCAUGGUAAGGGAUUCAUAUGACAUUCCAGUGGUGCAAGGGAGUCUAUUUUUUUAUGUUUACAGCUUUUAGUCAGCAUAGGUAACCUAGGUGGUUGAAAUUUCUAUGGCGCUGCUAAUCUAUUUAGUUGGUAAACCAAAAUAUUUUGACAUUUCCCCUUCAAGUUAUUUGAGGGUAAAAUCUAAAAACCAAAUUUGCUCUAUCAUUUGGCAGGUACUUUCUUGAUGGCAUUGAUAUUUACUUUGAAAAUGUUGGAGGAAAAAUGCUUGAUGCAGUCCUGCUCAACAUGAGGGUCCGUGGGCGAAUUUCUGUUUGUGGAAUGGUCUCACAAUACAAUCUCGAGCAGCCGGAAGGUGUUCAUAACUUGAUGCAUCUUGUGCAGAAACGCAUUCAUAUGGAGGGUUUCUUGGUCUAUUAUUUCUAUCACCUGUUCCCAAAAUAUCUAGACAUGGUUCUGCCCUACAUCAAACAAGGAAAGAUUGUGUAUGUUGAAGACAUAGCAGAAGGCCUUGAAAAUGCUCCGGCAGCAGUAUUCCUAUUGCCAUGUGUUAUAUAUUCCUAAACAUUCACAAUACUUGCAUCUGGGAGGUUUCCGUUCACACUCAACACCUACUCUAUAGAAACUAUGCUCAUCUUCAACAAGAACAUCAGAUGGUAACUCCGAAUGACCGUUCACUUGGACACAAAUUCUUGGAAAUUGAAGUCUUCCACUUGAAGGAGUUAAUAAUUUUUCAGUGAACGAAGGCUUUCCAAUCACACUUGCUAACGGAGCAAGAGCCUGAGGAGAAGGCCAAAAAUGCAUAUUCAAGUCGCUUAAUUUGAUCCAAGUAGGCAGAGAAUAUUGCUUUCUCAAACUCAGAUGAGUUUUCCAAGGCUUCAAAAUGAUUGAUAGGUUUCACUUCAAAAAAACCAAGGAGCUUGGUCUAAAACUUGCUGCCUGCUUUCUAAAGUUUCAAAAACAAAGUUAAAAAACUCCGGAUUCUAGUGAAUGUAUCUUAAGUGUAAAUUUGAAAUAUUUACAUAAAUAUUUUAAUGUAAAUUUAAUGUAACUUGAUAUUAUAGUUGUGGGUAAUUUUUAUAAAUAUUUUUUAUUUUAUAACAAGCUCUUGUUGUUGUUUUUGCAUCGAUUCAUUGUAGGUACUUCCCGCAAGGCAUUAGAUAAAACCAGUUAAGUCAAUUCUAAAGUUUUAAAAAAAAAUUGUUUAAAAAAUAUAUUUUAGUUUAUUAAAAUUUGUUUUGAAAAAAAAAACUAAAAUGAUGUAAUUUUAGGAUAAAGUAAGUCAACCUGCCAGUUUAUGAGUUGAUCUUUUCAAAUAUCACACCAAAUAUCACUCGAGUCUUAGACACUUCUUAUUAUUAUAAAGUAUAUAAAACUAAAAGGAGUGGGUAAAUAUUGUGGAAUUCUUAUGCACUUCUUAGUAAUUCAUUUUGGUUCUUGAAGUUUAAUUUUAGACUUUUAAAUUCUAAUUUAAAGCCAAUUGCUUUAGAUUUUCUAGUCAAAGGUAAAAUUGGAAGAGAAUGAGCUAUAAUAAGUUUUUAAAAAAAUACAUCAAACAUAAAUAGCGUGCCAUAAAUUUCAAGAAAAUUAUAUUUAGAUCCUUAAACUUUCAAAAUAACACAAAUUAUACAAUUUAGAUCCCUUGAAAUUUAAAAAAUUCAAUUUUGAUACUAAAGUCUAUUUAUAUUAUUUUUCAAUCUUUAAUUAAAGAGAGGAGGGAGAGAAGGGUUGUUAAAUUCUAGUUAUGAGAGAAAAAGACAUCGUUCAAGCCAUUUCUGACCACCAAAACGAGUUUUUUUUAUGUCCAUGGGUUCCAUGAGAUGAGAGGGGUUUAAUGGUAGUUCUUUGGUUUCUCAAUAUUUCUUAAAAAGAUAGAUCUAGUCCAAGAAAGAUAAAUCUAAACCAGUUUAAUUACGAGUUUUUGGACUUUUUUUUGUGUUUUGAGUUGAUGGAUUAGUUUGUGAGUGUUUCAAGAAUGUUAGUAAGAUGUUUUUUUAAAAAAAAUAGCUUAAAAUUGAGUUUUUUUCCCAAAAGAAAUGCUCCAUUAACUUUGCGAGCAUCAUUAUGGUGACUAGAAACUAGACUUGCAGGCAACACGUCGAUUAUGUAUUUUAUUUUUUAAAAAAAAAAAGUGGAUGACAGGUUGUCUGUCUCUUUAUAAUUUUUUUUUAAAAUGGGUGUGUGGGCUUAGGCUUGAUGGCCCACCCAUAUGCUAGGGCUUUUCCUUGCAAUGCCUACACGUCUAGGCUAUUUUUUGUUAUUUUUUUUAAUAUCGCUCAUCUAUGACUUUUUUUUAUUUGCUUAUUUAACCUUUUUUGGAUAAAUAUUGUUAUAAAAUUAUUUUGUAUGUGUUUAAUUUUUCAAGUGAUUUUUAUAUUCAUCUAUAAUUUUCUUGUUUUUAUCUUUUAUAUAGAUGAAUUUUAUUUUUGAAAAUAAAAAAUAUUUAUUUUCAGAUAAUAUUUAUAAUAUAUGUAGUCUUGCAUAUUAUAUUUUCCCUUUUAUUUUAUUCAAAUAAUUUAAUGUUUGUGUCUAUUUUUAUUAUUGUUUGAUUGAAUAAAAAAAUUAUUUUAAUUAAUAAAAUUUAGCAAACACAACCAGGUAAAUAUCUCAUCUUGCAAUAUUAAAUAUCUUGAUUUAUAUUUAUUUCUUAAUUUUUCAACUUUUAUUUUUAAUUUAUUAACAUACAUAAUUUUUAAUUUGUUUUAUUACAUGUAUUUUUUAUUUGCACUUAAAAAAUUUAGUUAUAAAAAUAAAUAAAAAAAUCUAUAUAUAUAAUUUUUUUUAUAAAAAAUAAAAAUAUCAAACCCGAGGCUAAAUGCAUUUCCAUAACUAUAUAUAUGUUGUAAAUUGCCAUAAUUGAAUAAACAAUUAAAAGGGAAAGAAAAUAAAAGAGAGAAAAGGGUUAUUGUUUUGGUUUGGGAUAACCCAACAAAGAAAACAAAAGAAAUCUAACACUCGUAUAAAAGCACAGCAAGAUAUAAUCUAAAAUUAUUAGCUAGACAAACCCAAAUUAAUCCUCCAUGGAAGGGGGGAAAGCCUGUAUAAGUCGAUAGAACCCAACAUAUAAUAGACCUUGAACACUAAAACUGGCCAUGAUAUGUUGUAAUGGACUUUGCUCUAAUGGUCUAUGAUCACUCUCGUGACCUUGUCCCCAAUUGCUUAAUCUUUGACACCAAGCCAAUUCACUAUCAAUCCACUUGACUCCUAGCCAAAAUUUAAGCCACGUAUCUAAAAAUGUGUUUUUAGAUUGUACGGCAUUCAUGAUGUUGAAAGCUGAUGACACUUUUUCUUCAUGUAUGAUUGGUUUAGUCAAGUUGCUAUAACAUGGCAGGCUCUCUUUCUUGUCUGGUUUCCAAGAUCGAGCAGUAGCUGAAGUUGUCUUUAAUAUUGUCAGCCAUGGACACAGAUGGUGGUAGUUCUAGUGAAACCGUACAGGUGAGAAACAAGAAGGUUAUGCUGAAACAUCACAUCAAUGGUUUGCCCAAAGAAUCAGACCUUCAUGUCACAACUGAAACUGUGGUGUUGAAAGUUCCACAAGGUUCAAACACAGUUCUUGUCAAGGUUCUUUACUUGUCCAUUGAGCCAUAUCAGUAUAUUCGAUCAAGAAAGAUCGAAAACCCUGGUGUCUUCUCUUCCUAUCCUCCUGGCUCUGUAAGUGAUGCCAUCCUCUUUAAUUACAUUUUCUAUGAAAUGAAGAGAAAUCUCAGGAUUCUAGGACAAAAGUUUCCUGCUUGAAAACUAAUGCAGGUGAUCACCAGUUAUGGAGUGGGUAGGGUUUUGAACUCCGGACACCCUGGCUACAAAAAGGGUGAUCUUGUUUGGGGAACAACUGGAACAGCUUUGUUGUCUUCACUUUCCUUCUUUUCAUCUUGAAAAUGUACCCAAGUUUCAAUAAGAAAUCUCAUUUUGUUGUUUCAAUUUAUUUUUUAAAUUUCUGUUAAGGUUGAUUUGUUGAAGAACAAGUUAGGGUUUGACGACGCUUUCAAUUACAAGGAAGAGAAAAACUUGGAUGCAGCAUUGAAGAGGUCAGGUUUUGCUUUAGUUUAGCUUAAUUUGCAAGUCCAUGAUUAAUGUAGAUUCAGUCCAAUUGCAAAAAGACAUCCAUCUUAUCCUGAUAGCAGUAAAUUCUGAAGAUAAUACUAUAGCAUGCAUGAAUUGAAGAUGAUGGUGGGCUAUCUUUUUCCCAAGUUCUGGGACUUCAUGCUCCCUUAUAUCAGAGAAGGAAAGAUAGCGUGUGUGGAAGACAUAGCUGAAGGCCUUGAUAGCUGCCCAGCUGCUCUGGAAGGACUUUUUACUGACAGAAAUCUUGGAAAGAAAGUUAUUAUAGUUUCUCAAGAAUAAAAUUUCUGUAUUAUAGGUUCAGUUGUGGACCGCUAGAACAGUUUGGUCUGUUAUAAGUUAGUCUUGUAAUUAGUCUUUACUUUCCUUUACUUCAGAGGGUUCAAGAUACGUAGUCAUUCGAAGUUAUUGGUAUCAUCAUCAAGGUUAUCUCUCAUUCAUUUUGGUAUCUUUUAUGUUUUGAAGUUGACCUUCAAGUCUAGUACAUGUUGUUGGAUGAUUUUAACAGACUUCUGUUGUGAAGGUAAUUUCCUCAUUUUGUGUUUUUAACACAAGAAUCCAGCUGAUCAUGUUGUUCCCCUCGAUGAUCUUCUUAAAUGAAGGCCAAAAGGUUCCUUUCUUGAGGUGGGAUGAGGACAUCAUGAGUAGGUACAAAAUGCAGCAUUUACCCUGAUGUGACAAAGCCUGCUUAUCAGAACUUGGCAUUAUAUACAUUCCUUUUUUUGUUCACCAAUAUGCGAAAAGCCGGCUGACGACAUUCAAACAGAUACCUCUAAUACCAUGCUUUGAGAAUUGAGAGAGAGAGCCCUUGGCAUCUUUAUGUUUCAUAUAUAUGUACCCAUGUCCAGGCUAGUUCUCUUAGUAAUAUCUUAUAUAUGUAUUGGCAGAUAAUGCGAUGAGUGGUGACGAAAAAGUAACAAGCAGGUGAUAUUGAAAGACUAUGUCUUCUCUGGUCUGCCUAAGAAUUCAGACAUGUAUUUGAUUACCGGUACCAUCAAACUUAAGGUACCAGAAGGAACUCCUGGGAUUCUAGUCAAGAAUCUGCAUUUGUCAUGAGAUCCAGCCAUGAGAGGUAGAAUGCUAAAACGUGAAGGAUAUUAUCUAGCAUUUCAUUGAAAAGAUUUUAUGUGAUCAAUACAAUUGAGAAUAGGGUUGUUGAUGACUUUAGCUCAAUUUUUCAAGCAAUAGUCUUAUUUCCUGAGCUAAUGCUUGUGUCUGUUUGAAAAUAUUCAGCCUUUAAGUGGAUAUGGAGUGGCUAUAGUUUUGGAUUCAGUGCAUCCAGAGUUCAAGAAAGGUGACCUAGUUUGGGGAGUAACUGGUUGGGAAGAGUAUAGUUUCAUUACAGCAACAAAGGGACUGUCCGAAAUUCAACUCACAGAUGUGCCUCUUUCCUAUUAUACUGGAAUUCUUGGUUAGCUUUUUUCACUUUUCUUUUUCGUCUCAAUUGCAUCUUUGUUAAGGUUAGGUUACUGUAGUGCUACUAAUAUACAUGCAUGGCUGGCAAGUGUGAACAGCAGUUUCCCUUUUGACAUCCUUAGCAGAUAUGAUAUUGUGCUAGAAAACUUGCAAAAUGUGACAUCUCUGUUUCUAUUGCCUUUCAAGUAAAAAUUUGGAUUCUGUACGCCGUUUAGUGACAUGGGAAUUGAUUUUAACGCUACAUUGAAGUGAAACUAACGGAUUCUUAUGCAAGUCUUGUGUCAAAUUACAGGACUGAAAUGGCUAAGAGUCAAGAAGGUGGUAAUUUUAAAGAGUCUAGAUGAAUUCAUGUUGUAGAGUGAUUGGGUUUCUUAUGUGUGUUUGUGUGGUUACUGAAUUAAUUGGUGACGACACUUGGAUGCUUGAAAUCAUGCAAAUGCAGCCUACUGGUGGGCGAGGAGUUGCUAAAGGAUUGGAUUCAAGACAUACAAAUUUCAAGAACAAUAUAGUCUUAUUACACAAACACAGACACUAAUCGCAAUUCAUGUCCAAGAUGUGCCUUAAUCUAUUCUUAAGGUUCUGUUUAUGAAAUUCAAAACACUGUUUUGAGAUAACAAAUAGGUUUGAAAAAAUAAUUCCUUAUUUUCUUUUCGACAAUUUUCAAAAUCAAAUUACUCUGCUUGGAGAUUGGUAAAUUGAAAUGCAGGAAGCGCUGAACCAAAUGCUGGAGUAGACAUUGAAGUCCUUGCAUCAUCAUCUGGACUGUUAGCACCAGGAGCAGUUGUACUAAACAGAGUGGAACCAAAUGUUGAAGCAGGAGUUGAACCAAAUGCUGGAGUGGACGAAAAGUUUGCACCAAACACUGGGGCUUCAUCACCAGACAUUACAGGAGUUGAACCGAAUGGUGUCUUAGACGAAGUAUUUGCAGCACCUUGUGCUGUCCCAAACAGAAACCUGGGAGGGCCACAGCUUCGCUUACAGCAGAAACGUCCAUAUUCCUUGCAGCACGAGCAUGGGAAAGUCGUUUUGCGUCUUGGACAAGAAUCAGAAUGCCCGAGGUGCAGACAAAAGGAGCAUCUAGAUGUGGGCUGCCAUUCAUACUCAACCUUUUGAUCAUAGCUGUAGCCCUUGUCAUCCUCAAUGGUGACUGAAUCAGGUAACAUCUUCUCAAAAUCCACUUCGACACAAACUCUUGCGAAGCGCAAUGUCUCUCUUGAUGCUGUUACUGUAUCAGCAAACAAUGGUCUGCCCACCAGACUUGCAAUCUUACUAAGUGCCUCAGGAGACCACAGAUGCAACCUCAGAUUCGGUAACUUAAUCCAAAUCGGUGCUGACUUCAACUCUUUGAUUUCCAAGCUCAUAUCACGACUCCAUGGCUUUAAAAUAAAAGGUUUACUACCAUCAUAAAACCUUGGACCCUCACUCAAUGCCAACUCCUUGCCACGAGCAGAUUCAAAAUCCAAGACAAAAACUCCUGACGCUUGAGAAUAUACCUUAACAUUCCCAUUUUUUCUCCACUCCGAGUCGAUUAAAUUGUUGAUAAACUUGUUGAAAGAAGGUGGACCGAAGGUUGAAUCAUGGCCAAGAAAAUAAGCAACCACAGCGUUUUCCCAUCUCUUAAACUCCGACGCAACAUCCUCUUCAUUAACUUUAGCCAAUUCCUUUCCAUUCUUGGCCACAGGUUCUACGAACUUCAAUUCCAUCCUCUUAUGCAAUCUGAAUAUUCAAGUAGCGUUUGAUUUAUGUUCCAGGACAGGACAAGACAGAAGGGAUAAGAAGUUUGAUUGAUGUUUCAGGAGAAGAGAAGGGAUGAGAUGGAACAAAUCGCAAAGAAAUUCAAGAACAUACGUAUCACAGGGUUAGAUGUCAAGGAAAAUAGAAAAGCUAGACGAAAGUAGGAUCUGGAAUCAAAGAUGUUGCGAGGUGGGUGGGACUAUGUGUUCCCUGCCAUGCACAUGUAUAUAUAGGAACUCAGGUCGGUAGGUGUUGGCGAGUAGGAUAACCAUAGCACAAAGCCUAAGCUCAACGCUAACUAAUCGAAAUUACAAAGUCAAAGCCUCAGUUUGACGCAAACGAGUGGAACAAGGGGGAUGAUGUGAUGCGUGGUCCCGAUACUCUUCUUUAUCUUAAAACAAAUAAAUAAAUAAAUUAUUACCUGAUAGUCAUUUGAUUUUGUCUCGCACUCCGUUUGUUCACUAAGAUCGUGGUUGAUAUUAUAUUUCAAGCCAAGCCGGUUUUUUGAAAUAUUUUUUUAUUUUAAAUAUAUUAAAAAAAAUUUUAAAAAAAUUUAUUUUAUUUUUAUCAUCAACCUAUUAAUAUUAUAAAAAAAUAUUAAAAAAUAUCAAUUUUAUAAUUUUAUAAUAUAUAUAUAUAUAUAUAUAUAUAUUCAUUUAAAUAAUCCAAGGAGAGAUGCGUUUUUAAAAUUAUUCUGGGAUGUUUGCUUACAUCAUAAUUAUAUCCACGUAUUUAUGUAUAUAUGUUCGUCAUGUUUCAGAAUUUUAUCAGUAUACAUUAACAAGAAGGAUGUUCUUAAAACAAAACUGCGCAAGCGUCUGAGUAAAGUACAUGAGCAUGAAAUUUAACAAAUCCUAUCAACAACGUAAUGCUUGUAGAAAUGUAAAGAGCUAUAAAGAACUGCCCUGCAUUUACUUAUGAGGAAAAAGAACAAUGUACUUAAUUCACGAUUGAGAAGAACAAAGGUUUAAGAAAACAAAGAACUUUGAUGAUUAAAUAUAAAGAACAAAGAGCAGAAUUGAGUUUUUGGUUACUGCCAUCCCAAGUCUUUAUUUAUAAGGAAAAAGAGAAACAGAAUUUGAAUGGAAAAAAAUAACAAGAAGCGUGCCUGCCUUCUUCUCCUUUAUUUAAGGAGAUGAUUACAAGUUAAUUCAAUCCUAGAUAAUCUUAACAAAGAAAUCAAAAGCAUAUCCUACACUAGAUAAUAGUCUCAGCUAAAACAAAGAAAUAAUACAGCUGUGAAUUACUGCUAAGUCUUCUGCUAGCUUAGGUACCGAGCUUCAACACUCCUCCUUGGUUCCAAAGCUAGUCAUUCCAAUUCUUGCCCUUAGAUCUUCAAACCUGGUUUUACCCAAUGGUUUGGUGAAAAGAUCUGCUAGUUGAUCUUCAGAAGUGCAGUAGCAUAGUUCCAGUUCUCCUUCUUGUUGAAACUGCCUGAUUGCAUGAAACUUGAUCUUCAUGUGCUUGGUUUUAUCAUGGAAGACAGAAUUUUUAGAAAUGGCUAUAGCUGAUGUAUUGUCACAAAACAAUGUUGUGGGAUUGUGUUGAUUGCAGUCUAAGUCACUUAGCAUCUUCCUCAGCCAUAUUAGUUGUUUUGCUGCUACAUAAGCAGCUAUAUAUUCGGCUUCUGCAGUAGAAUGUGCCACCACCGAUUGUUUCUUUGAAUUCCAGCAAAACAUACUCUUUCCCACAGCAAAACAGUAGCCUGACGUGCUCAUCAUUCCUUCAUCACUUCCUCCCCAAUCACUGUCUGAAAAUCCAACAAGAUUGAUUGAGCUGGACUUCACAAAGUGUAUGCCAAAACCUGCAGUCCCUCUUAGAUAUCUUAAUACUCUCUUAGCUGCCACAAAGUGAUUUUGACUUGGCUCUUGCAUGAACCUGGAAAGAUAAUUCACAGCAAAUUGAAUGUCAGGACGUGUGGCUGCUAAAUACAGCAAACUCCCAAUUAGACUCCUGUAGAUUUUCCCAUCAGCUUUUGGUGAGCCAUCCUCUUUCAUUAGCUUCUGCCCCUGUAUCAUAGGAGUGCUUACUGGCUUGCAAUUGUUCAUUGCAAAACUGUCCAGUAUUUUCAAAGAAAAACGUUUUUGACAAAGAAAGUAACCUUGAUCAGUUUGGGUUACUUCCAUUCCUAAAAAAUAAGUCAACAAACCAAGUUCAUUCAUCUCAAACAUGUCUUUCAUAUUGGUUUUGAAUUCCUCUACAAGCUGCUCCUUAUCCCCUGUGAUUAGUAAAUCAUCAACAUAAACUGAUACAAUUAGUUUAUGUCCAGCAGCAUGCUUCACAUAUAAAGUUACCUCAUUCAUGCUCCUGUUAAAUCCCAAGCUUAAGAGAUGAUUAUCCAACCUGCUAUACCAAGCUCUAGGAGCUUGUUUCAAUCCAUACAAUGCUUUCUUCAGUAAAUAAACCUUGUUUGUUGAAUUAGAUUUUUCAAAACCAGCAGGUGCUCAACAUAAAUCUCUUCAUCUAGCACACCAUUCAAAAAUGCAGAUUUAACAUCCAAUUGAAAUAUAUACCAACCGUUUUGUGCUGCUAGAGCAAGCAGGAGUUUCAUUGUUUCAUGUCUGGAAACUGGAGCAAAGGUUUCUGUGAAGUCGAUCCCUGCCUCUUGUGAAUAUCCUUUCACUACAAGUCUGGCCUUAUGCUUGUUGAUCUUUCCAUCUGCAUUUACUUUUGUUUUGAAAAUCCAUUUCACUCCAAUCACCUUCUUAUGAGCUGGUCUGUCAACUAGCAUCCAUGUUUGAUUCUUGUCUAUCAUUGCAAGCUCCUCCUUCAUUGCUGCUAUCCAAACUUGAGAGUUCAUGCUUCUUCAACAUUUACUGGUUCUGCCUCGCUACAUUGCACCUGCUAUAGAUAUCUGAUAGAGAUCUUGUCCCUCUUACUGGUUGAUCAUCACUGUUUUCUGCAGCAUCCAAGUCAGUUUGUUGCUCAAUAUUCCCAGCAACAUCUGUUUGUUGAUUAAUCAUGUUUGCAUCAUCCAACUCAUCUUGUUGCAUCGGUUUUGAUUCUUCAUUUGAUGAAUUUUUCCAGUUCCAAGCUGCAUUUUCUACAACUUUGACAUCUCUAGCAACCACCACUUUGUUAACAUUCAAAUCAUAGAUUUUAUAAGCUUAGAAUUUGUACUAUAGCCUAUAAGAAUCCCUAUAUCAGCCUUUUGAUCAAGUUUCCUUCUUCUGACUUCAGGUUUCAGAACAUAACAAAUACUUCCAAACACCUUUAAAUGAUCAAUACUGGGUUUAAAACCAUACCAGAGUUCAUAAGGAGUUUUAUCUGCCAAAACUCUUGAAGCCAUUCGGUUUAUAAGGUAUGCUGCUGUGUUUACUGCUUCUGCCCAGAAAUUCAAUGGCAACUUCUUCUCAUAGAGCAAGCAUCUAGCCAUCUCCAUCAAUGUUCGGUUUCUUCUUUCACUUACACCAUUCUGCUGUGGUGUGUAGGGAACAGUCAGCUGGUGUUUAAUCCCUUCUUUAGCAAGGUAUGCUUCAAAUUGUCGAGAGGUAUACUCUCCUCCAUUGUCAGAUCUCAAAGUCUUCAAUUUGUUCCUGUUUCUAGUUCAACUGCUGCCUUGAACUUAACAAACUCAGCAAACACAUCAGCUUUGGAUUUUAGAAAAUAAACCCAGCAAUACCUGCUAAAAUCAUCAAUAAACAGAAGAAAGUACUUUGAACCAUUUAAUGAUUCAUUGUGCAUAGGUCCACACACAUCUGUGUGUACAAGCUGAAGUUUAGAUACUGCCCUGUAUGCAUUUUCUGGAAAAACAGUUCUGGUUUGUUUUCCCAGCUGACAAGCCUCACAUAUAGUUUGCUGCUCCUGAAUAUUUGGCAACCCGUGAGCCAUCUGCUGGUCAGCCAUUCUUUUUAAGUAGCAUAAUUGAAGUGUCCCAGCCGUUUGUGCCAAAGAACAGAUUCCUUGCACUCAUAAGUAUUAGCACUUAAACACACUUCAUUCCAAUUAACAUUAAAGCUUCGGUUCAUCAUUUUUGCAGACAGUAAAAGCAUUCCAUUUCUAUCUUUAAUGUCACACACUCCAUCAUUAAAAACUAUUGAAUAUCCAGAUUCAAUCAAUUGACCCACACUAACUAGAUUUUGGUUGAUCUUAGGCACAUAAAGAACAUUUUUAAGAAUUUUUGUACCUGACAGUGUUUCUACUGCAAUUGCUCCUUUUCCUUCAACUUUCACACAGUCUCCAUUGCCAAUUCUGACUUUAGACAGUAGCUUCUAUCCAAGUCUCUGAAUAAGCUUAAGUCUGUUUCAUAUGAUUAGUGCAGCCGCUAUCAAUGAGCCAUGAUGAGUCCUUUGUCUCUGCUGAAUUACAUAUGUCCUGAACUGUGACCAUGAAUAGAAGUUCUUCUUUGACUUCUGAACAAUCGGCUACUUGUGCUUGUUGUUCAGUUUCUGUUUAUUUUUGCAGAAUCUUUGAUGUGACCAAAUUGCUUGCAUUUUCGGCAUUGAGCAUUCUUGAGCCAACACCAGGCUUCAAGAUGAUUGUUUUCUGACAGUAUUUGCAAGCAGGAAAAUGUUCUUUCUUCUCUUUCCCCCUCAUGAAGCUGUUAUUGUUGUUCUGUUGCCAGUUAGCAGAUUUCCAGUCUCUCCUUUUUCUCUUUUUCCUUCUUGAUUAUUUCUGAAGAUGUUCUUAGCCCGACCCUUAUCCUUGUAAACUGCAACAAGAGCUCCUUCACUUGAUCCUUCUUGUCUAUAUGCUUGCCUUUGCUCACAGCUUGCAAUGCAUUCACCAAUUCUUGCAGCUUCUCAGAAAAAUCUUUAGAAUCUUCUAAAGAACAGAUUUUAUGUUCAAACUUUUCUGGCAAACUCACCAGGACUUUCUCUACAAUUCUAGAGUCUGGAAAAUCUUCUCCCAAGAGUCUUACUUGAUUCACAAGUUUUGAAAUUUGAGAAGAGAAAUCUUUGAUGCUCUCAUUUUCUUUCAUCUUCAGACCUUCGAAUUGUCUUCUCAGAUUCAGAAUCUGCAUCCUUCUUGAUUUCUCAUCACCAUGGAACUCUGCUUUUAAUUUAUCCCAUGUUUCCUUGGCAGAUUUACAUGCCAUGAUCCUCGUGAAGAUGUCUUCACUUACAGCAUUAUGAAGACAAGAAAGAGCUUUGAAUCUCUUUACCUUUUCUUCAUUAAAGAACUUUAUCUGUGCAAUUGUGGGAUUGUUACCUAGAGGAGUAGGUUGCCUAUCACUUUCCACUAUCUCCCAUAAAUCAAGAGCUUUGAGAUAGGUUUCCAUCUUUACAGCCCACACACCAAAAUUCUGCCCUGCAAACAAUGGUGUUUUUGCUGGAAAAUUUACAGAAUCCAUUGCUUAAAAAAACUCACUCAAUCUCUCGUGUAUCACUCACCACCACUCAAAGUAAAACCUUUGAUUUAUCCUCACAAUACUCUCGUGUUUCUCACUCACAAAGAAUCCCUUCAAAGAUCAAAAAAGAGCUCUGAUACCAAUUGUAGAAAUGUAAAGAGUUAUAAAGAACUGCCCUGCAUUUACUUAUGAGGGAAAAGAACAAUGUACUUAGUUCACGAUUGAGAAGAACAAAGGCUUAAGAAAACAAAGAACUUUGAUGAUUAAAUAUAAAGAACAAAGAGCAGAAUUGAGUUUUUGGUUACUGCCAUCCCAAGUCUUUAUUUAUAAGGAAAAAGAGAAACAUAAUUUGAAUGGAAAACAAUAAUAAGAAGUGUGCCUGCCUUCUUCUCCUUUAUUUAAGGAGAUGAUUACAAGUUAAUUCAAUCCUAGAUAAUCUUAACAAAGAAAUCAAAGUUGUUAGGUUGCUUUGUUGUUGGAAGUGCUGGAAGCAAAGACAAGGUAUGUCUCCUUGGUGAAUGUUUAUAGUUAUUUGUGUUCUUCCUGUUUUAUUUGGCACUGCUUCUUGGUCUAAUCUGAUGUUGUUGCUUUUCAAAGUCUCGAACACAAUAAAACUUGGAAUUGCAAACCUGCUUGAACAAUAAGUUAUUAUACAAAAGACUAAAAAGCUCUUUGCUAGUUAGAAAGCUGGUCGAAGGCUGCCAAAUGGCAAGCAAAAUAUAUUAACUGGAAGAGCCAGAAAAAGAUGGUACAUGAAUGAUCUAUUCGAUAGGUUCUGGGGAGUUUCAGUGUCACACAAAUCUUAGGCACCAUGAAAAAGAGGGUGUUUCUUGCAUCCAAACAUAUUCUUUUCUUGAAAGAUUACUCUUCUAAUAAUGUGCUAAUGAGGAUCUAAGUUCGUAAGUAGCCUACAAGUAAAUGCUUCUAAUCAGUUUCCAAAAAACGACGUCUGAAAACACAAGACUUACAGAAAACACCAGCAUUUGACAAAGAUUUUACAUCCUUUUGUCCAUAAGAAAUUUUAAGGUUAGUGCUUUUGUCCAUAUGAAUUUUCUAUCGUUCCAUUACUUGCAAGUUGCAAUGAACAAGUAUCUGGACAUCCAGUUCCUUUUACAAUACUCUGUCUAUUUCAUGGUUAGAAACUUGUAAAAAAUCUUGACUGAAUUUAGGGAUAAAAUUUUUUGGACAAGGAUAUUGUUUUACUUGAUUUUUUCUCAAUCUUAAUUUUGGGGAAAAACACGGAUAGCUUGUAGUUCAGUAAGUGAGAGAUAUGGUGUUGAUUAGUUCUGUAGGUUGUCCUAGAUCUAUUCUAAAUACAUAUUUUCAUGGUAUGCAUCAGCUCCCUAGGCUUCCCAUUACUAUUUCCAUUAUUGUAUAUACUUUCCUUUUUCAUGCAUGACAAAGUAGGUAAUUUUGCAAGUUAUCAGAGGAUGAAAUGGCUCUCCCUUUAUGUCAUGGAAGUUAAAUAGAUAACUGUCAUCCUAGUGUUUAUUCUUCUGUCAAAGUGAAGCAAGCAAUCUCAUUAAUUAGCUUCUUUUUUAUUUUUGUUUCUUGACCUUCAUUUCUCCUUUCCUACUCUCAUUUCUGUAAUACAAGGUUGAUUUGUUGAAGAAUAAGUUUGGCUUUGAUGAUGCUUUCAACUACAAAGAAGAGCUGGACUUGGAUGCAGCUUUGAAAAGGUUAGCGGUACACUAUGCUUAAACUAGACCUGUGGUGGUAAAAUGGAACCCUACUAAAAAAAAAAAUUGUAUACAGCAUAGGUAACCUAGGUGGUUGAAAUUUCUAUGGUGCUGCUAAUAUAUUUAGUUGGUAAACCAAAAUAUUUUUCUUUUUGACAUUUUCCCUUCAAGUUAUUUGAGGGUAAAAUCUAAAAACCAAAUUUGCUUCAUCAUUUGGCAAGUACUUUCCUGAUGGCAUUGAAAUUUACUUUAAAAAUGUUGGAGGAAAAAUGCUUGAUGCAGUCCUGCUCAACAUGAGGGUCCGUGGGCGAAUUUCUAUUUGUGGAAUGGUCUCACAAUACAAUCUCGAGCAGCCGGAAGGUGUUCAUAACUUGAUGCAUCUUGUGCAGAAACGCAUUCAUAUGGAGGGUUUCUUGGUCUAUUAUUUCUAUCACCUGUUCCCAAAAUAUCUAGACAUGGUUCUGCCCUACAUCAAACAAGGAAAGAUUGUGUAUGUUGAAGACAUAGCAGAAGGCCUUGAAAAUGCUCCGGCAGCUCUAACUGGACACUUCGCAGGCCGCAAUAUCGAAAAACAAGUGUGUUGUAACCCAUUUUUGGGUCCCCACAUAAAAAAAAAAAUACAAAAAAAUUCAAAAAAUAUAUUAUCAAAAAAUAUAACAGUGAAAAAAUGCUAGAGCGCCCUAAAAAUGCUCAAAAAUUGAUUGAGGAUGUUCAAAAAUCAAAAAUUAAUUUUUGACAGUAUAUCAUUGACUGAUGAGAGCCCCGAUGAUAAAGAAAAUUCAAUUUGUGGAAGAAAAAUGCAAAAUCAGAAGUUUAUGGACUCAAUGAAAUUUUAUUAAAGGUUUAAUUGCAUUUAUGAAGAUUUUAAUUGCAAGAAAAAUUGAUUUUGGGAGUUAAUUUGGGCAUGUGCACAGUAACCCGCGGAUUAAUUCUCUGGUUACUGUACACACAGUAACCCGGUACUAUGUACACAGUAACCAGCCAUUUGGGCCUGGGCUGGGCGUCAGCCAGCCCAUGUAAAUGGGCCAGGUUUGGCCCAACCCAUGCAAUUGGGCCUGAUCCGGCCCAUAUUUUUUAAAAAAUAUUAUUUUAAAAUAUAUAUAUUUAUCAUGUUUCCAUUUUUAUUUAUGUUAUUUUUAUUAAUAUCGGGUAGUUUUUAUGUCGAAAAAAAACAAAUCGGGUAUUAAAAUACCCGGUUUUUUUUGUCAACUUUUCAAAAAAAUACAAAAAAUUAAAAAAACAUUUUGUGCAUACGGCCAAGUGUCUCAAAUCUAAAUUAUCAUAUCGUAUUUUUCAUGUAAAAAAAAACAAAUUUUAGCAUGCAUUUUGGCUUUAAUAACCAGUUUAUUAAAGUCAAGAGAACAUUGGCCAAAAUCUCAAAAACAACAAAUAUUUUAUUUUGUUUGAUUUUAGUAUCAAGGAUUAUGAAUUUAUACGUAAUCGUAUUCCUGAUAAAAAAAAAAAAUAUUUUCUUUUGACGACUUCGAAUAGUUAGUUUUUUACCCGAUAAAGAUAAGGAUCUCCUUACAGAGGAGGACUUUUCUUAAACCGUAAACGAACCAACAAUUCAAAAACCACAACACGAUUUUAGAUUUUAUCAGACAUUAAAACAAUGCAGCCUACCUUAGGUAGGGCGUAGUUGGGGUGCUAAUACCUUCCCUUUACGCAACCAGUCUCCGUACCCGAUCUCUAACGACUAGUUAAGGUUCCUAGUAACCAGAAUACUAGGUGGCGACUCCCAUUCUAAUUUUUCACUUGUAGAGACAAGAAUUUCCUUGUCUCUCUCCCUAUUUUCCAGGAAUAAAUUAUUCCGAUUUUCCCUUGAGGGUGGACGAUCGCCGCGCCGCCGCACACGUGCGACAGAAUGGCGACUCCACUGGGGACCUUGUGGACUAAGCUUUGUUGUUGUCUGAUUUAUUGUGUUUUUUGUUGUGGUUUGCGUGUUUAUUUUUAAAUAUGCAUUUUCUUUAUUUAUUUCUUACGCGCUUUAAUUUUUGUACAUAUUUGUUCAUGCAUUGUAUAAAACUGCCUCUUGCAUCACAUGCUUUAUAUUUUUCAAGCACGCACAAGCUUCUAAGUUAAGUGGGGAAUUAACGAUCUGCCCUUGACUAUUGGUCGGGUUCAGAUGCGUGAAACACCCAACUCAUAUCUGAGAGCCUGCUUGGUAAUGGUGGGCAUACGUGCCUUAACUGUUCUUUGCAACGCCCCCAUACUGCCUUUACGAAGGACGUCACUGGGCAGAUAUGAGACCCUUUUGAGACCAGGUAGAAAACCUAUUCAUGAAUAGACCCUGUCUUUAGUUUGUAUGCGUUAUCUUUCUUUACAGAAUAUGUCAUACAAAAAAAAAAAAAAUCAUGUCACCCCUUUGAGGGGCAAGUGCAUCAUAUAAAUUACAUGUUCAAACAUUUAACAUGCAUACCGCAGAUUGAAAUAUAGGUCCCCAAAAAGUCUACAACACCCGACUUCGAGCAAGAAAUAUGGAAGAUGAAGAGCGUGCUCAACGUGAUGCCUAUUUGCACGAGGAGUUGGAGUCUCUGAAAAUAAGUGUGGCUCACCUCACUAGCUUACUCAAGCAAACACUAAGAAAUACCUCUGAUGAAGGUCCUUCUAAUCAACCGAUCACCUUUAAUCCGGCUCCUACUUCAGUUCAGCCUGAGGAAAGAAUGAGCGAACAUGGUCAAGAACCUCAGCAAAAUCCAACAUUUAUGCAGUCAACAACACCUGCACCAUCCCCAACAGUCGUGAAGGCAUCUGCUAAUGAGUCCCACAAGGCUAAGUCAUCUGAUAGCAUUGAUCAAGCUAAGAUAGAGGCGUGGAAGCCAGACUCAAAGCCAUUGAAGGGAUAGACUUAUAUGACCCGGUCGGGCAGCAGAGAUGUGUUUGGUCCCAAAUGUGGUUGUCCCAAAGAAAUUUCGUGUUCCUGAAUUCAUCAAAUACAGUGGAACACAAUGCCCCAUGACUCAUCUCAGGUCCUACUGCAAUAAAAUGGCUGAGGUAGUACAUGAUGAAAAACUACUAAUGCACUUUUUCCAAGACAGUUUAAGUGGGGCAACUUUGAGUUGGUACAUGAGAUUGGAUAACACAAAAAUUCGCAACUGGAAAAAUCUUGUGGAUGCUUUCGUCAAGCAAUACAAGUACAACAUGGACAUUGCGCCCGACAGAACCAGUUUGUCCAAUAUAGAGAAAAAGGAUAAAGAAAGCAUAAGGGAAUAUGCUCAAAGAUGGCGAGAAUUAGCUGCUCAAGUACAUCCCCCACUUCUGGACAAAGAGAUGGUCUCUUUAUUUGCCAACACACUCAAAGCACCAUAUUACGAACAUAUGAUGGGUAGUUCAGCCCAACAAUUCACUGAUGCUGUGAUAGUGUGUGAACGCAUAGAGCAAGGUGUCAAGAGUGGUAGAAUUGCUGCACCAACCGAGAAAAGAGGCGUCGAAAGAAAAGAGGUUCACCAUGUUGAAGAUGGCUACAUGGGUAAAACAAAUACAUCCCAAAUUACCAUACUCCAUCCCAAAUUGCCAACAUCAAAAAACCUGAACCCCAAAACUUUCAAGCCAAAAGCCAAAUUGGAAAUUUCCAAAGGGUUCAAGAACAACUACCUCCACUACCGUUACCCCUGAAUGAGAUGUAUCAAAAGCUAUUGAGCAUCGGGCAAAUAGCUCCAGAACCUCUAACACCUCUGCAGCCACCUUAUCCUAAUUGGUACAAGCCAGAACUCAAUUGUGAAUACCAUGCCGGUAUUACUGGGCAUAGCAUCUAUACCUGCAACGCCUUCAAGAGAAAGCUUCUGCAAUUAAUCAAGGCUGGGUGGAUAGAAUUGGAAGAUGCCCCCAAUGUGAAUACGAACCCGUUGCCUAAUCAUGCUUGAAGCAUAUUAGGAUGGAAUGUUUGGGGAAUUGGAAAGCAUCAAUGGUCCAGCAUGAUAGCUUGAAUUUUGUAGAACUCAAAUUUUGACCGUGGUGUUGUUCCGCAUUGUCUUUGAGUCCUCGCACAGCUUUUGAGAGGAGGCUAGCCUAAGAGCAAAUUCGCCAAAAUAGAGGAAUGAAGCCUACCUUGUUAUUGCCUUUUGUUAAUGCUUUUGAAUAAGACUUUCUCUGUUAAUGUGCUUCUCUUGUGAAAUAAGAUCAUGUGUUUUCUUGUGUUCACAUCACACUCUUCUUUGUUGUUAUUACAUGUAAAUAACAUUUUGAGCGCAACUUUGCUCACAACACUACAACAUGAAGAAUCCUUUGGUGUUCCUUUCUUCCAAACCCAUACAUUAAUCUCAUAUGUUUUCAAGGAUAUUUUUUUGGGACCUCCAAAGUGAGUACAAAAACAAAAAAUCGUGUUGAUAUUUGUCCAAAACAAAUGCAUUUUAAAAAUUCAAGUGAUUCCUUAAAUAGGUACACAUAUACCUAGAAAAACUUGAAAGAAAAAAGACAACAAAGAUAAACAACACUAUGAGGUGACUCAAAAGCUGAGUUUUAUUUGACUGAAUAAAUCAUUUGGCAUACGCGCAUGAAAGCAAGACCUAUCGAUCCUCAAUGCACGAGUUUGAGAUGAGGAAAGGCCAUCUUUGAUAAUCAUUUCACAAGGCUAAAAAAAAUAUCCAUUGCAAUCCCAUUUUGAGCCUAGUAAUGUUUUUUGGAAAUAACCUUGACUAGGAUCACACCCCACACUAGGGGGCAAAAUAAUAGAGUUUUUACCCAUCUAGACAAAGCAGUGAAGAUGGGUGCUGGAUUUGAUCAUGUAAUUUUGAAUCUUUCAUUAUCAUCUAAAUGAUUGGUUAAGAAAAGAAAAGAAGAAGAUCUAAAGGAUCUAAAAGAUUUGAGCUUCUCAUACAAACAACUGAUAUGAUUGUGCUCAACAAAACAAAAACGAAGAAAACAAAGAGAAAAGCCCAAACCCGACACUAGGGGGCAGGACAAAUCAUUUUGAAAAAAAACAAAUCCAAAAGACAAAAGGUCAGGAAACAAGCACAAGUGAUCCCUAGUCUUGAAAUCCCUUAAACACUUUUUGAGCCUGCAACAUAUCCAUUUUCUUCGUAACCAAUAGCCAAAGCCUACAUUACAUACCUGAUAAAGCCCUUUCUGAUCAAAGGCAAGCAAUCUGGAUCGGUAUGCAGUGCUUUCUCGUGCGAGUCAAAUCAUUAUUCAUGCAAAUAAAAUAAAUGCUUUGAAUCAAUUCGGUUCUCAAUAACCCUCAAAUUGACAUUUAAACCUUUUGUGACCAACCAGAUGUCACUUCAUCUUUAAACAAAAGCAAAAAGCUUUCAUCACUUCAAGAAACCUGUCCAUAGGAAUCACUUGAAUUUUUGAACAAGUUUAUUUUGAACCAAUAUCAAAAUCAUUUUUGUGAUUGGAAUAACUUGGAAGUUCCAAAAAUUUUGCAUGAAAACAUUUCAUUGUACAAAAAACCCAAACUUACUUUCACAUAUCCUCACCCCAAACUAAACCCAAGUUGAACACUUGGGGGGCAUGAUCAAGCUGGGGGGCAAUCAAACACACAUGGUAGGGCUGUCUCCAUGAUUCCUUUUCUAAGGAAAAUGUCGGGCAAAAUUGGCAACUCUUGAGAUAAAGGGUGAAGGACAAAGAUGUAUGAUGACAUCAAACCCUUCCCAGAGGUCAAGAUCACAAUGUGUAACCCGAGUAAGCAAAAGUGGAAAAGCCAUCGAAGUUUACUACCAACACUACAACUUUUGAGAGAAAACAAAGACACCAUGAAGAAAUGGGGGCCUAUAUUUCUCAGGUAAGUAUACAUGCAUAUCAAUCAUAAUGCAUUUGCUUUUCAACAUUGACAAUCAUUGUUUCAACAUCAUCUUUGGGUAGUGCGUUUUCUAACCCUACCUCCUUUUGAGUGCGCCUUUGAGCCCUCACCUCCAUUUUGAGUGCGCCUUUGAGCCCUCAUCCCUUUGGUAGUGCGUUUUCUAACCCUACCUCCUUUUGAGUGCGCCUUUGAGCCCUCACCUCCAUUUUGAGUGCGCCUUUGAGCCCUCAUCCCUUUGGUAGUGCGUUUUCUAACCCUACCUCCUUUUGAGUGCGCCUUUGAGCCCUCACCUCCUUUUGAGUGCGCCUUUGAGCCCUCACCGCCUUUUGAGUGCGCCUUUGAGCCCUCAUGCCUUAGGUAGUACGUUUUCUAACCCUACCUCCUUUUGAGUGCGCCUUUGAGCCCUCACCUCCAUUUUGAGCGCGCCUUUGAGCCCUCAUCCCUUUGGUAGUGCGUUUUCUAACCCUACCUCCUUUUGAGUGCGCCUUUGAGCCCUCACCUCCAUUUUGAGUGCGCCUUUGAGCUCUUAUCCUUUGGUAGUGCGUUUUCUAACCCUACCUCUUUUCGAGUGCGCCUUUGAUCCCUCGUCGUCCACUUCUCCAUGGUUUUUUUACUUGGGUAGCUCACCCAUUACAAUGAGACCAUUCCUCCACCUGGGUAGGUCACCCAUUACAACACGACCACUCUUCUUUUUUUCAUCUGGGUGGGUCACCCAUUACAAUGAGACCGUUUUUUUUUCAUAUUUUCUUUUGUUUUGGUUAAAUGAGGUUGCCAGAUGGGAUCUCAUGUAGCUUUGGUUAAAGGGAAUCUCCAUAUAGGAUUUCAGGUUGACCGAGCUACAUACACAGGAUUUUGGUUCUGGUUAGAGGGGAUUGCCGAAAGGAAUCUCAGUUUAUCCCAACCACACAGGAUUUUGGUUCUGGUUAGAGGGGAUUGCCGAAAGGAAUCUCAGUCUAUCCCAACCACGCACAGGAUUUUGGUUCUAGUUAGAGGGGAUUGCCAAAAGAAAUCUCAGUCUAUCCCAACCACACACAGGAUUUUGGUUCUGGUUAGAGGGGAUUGGCGAAAGGAAUCUCAGUUUAGCCCAACCACACACAGGACUUUGGGUCCGGUUGAAGUUUUAGGUCAAUCAAAUUUUGAGACAACCAGUUUCGGAAGACCAAUUUUAUUUUUUCUUUACAACACUUACUAUGCACAAAUCUUUGCUCCGUAAGCAUUGUAAAGAGGGGGGCAACUGUUGUAACCCAUUUUUGGGUCCCCACAUAAAAAAAAAAAAUACAAAAAAAUUCAAAAAAUAUAUUAUCAAAAAAUAUAACAGUGAAAAAAUGCUAGAGCGCCCUAAAAAUGCUCAAAAAUUGAUUGAGGAUGUUCAAAAAUCAAAAAUUAAUUUUUGACAGUAUAUCAUUGACUGAUGAGAGCCCCGAUGAUAAAGAAAAUUCAAUUUGUGGAAGAAAAAUGCAAAAUCAGAAGUUUAUGGACUCAAUGAAAUUUUAUUAAAGGUUUAAUUGCAUUUAUGAAGAUUUUAAUUGCAAGAAAAAUUGAUUUUGGAGUUAAUUUGGGCAUGUGCACAGUAACCCGCGGAUUAAUUCUCUGGUUACUGUACACACAGUAACCCGGUACUAUGUACACAGUAACCAGCCAUUUGGGCCUGGGCUGGGCGUCAGCCAGCCCAUGUAAAUGGGCCAGGUUUGGCCCAACCCAUGCAAUUGGGCCUGAUCCGGCCCAUAUUUUUUAAAAAAUAUUAUUUUUAAAAUAUAUAUAUAUUUAUCAUGUUUCCAUUUUUUAUUUAUGUUAUUUUUAUUAAUAUCGGGUAGUAUUUUAUGUCGAAAAAAAUACAAAUCGGGUAUUAAAAUACCCGGUUUUUUUUGUCACAAACUUUCAAAAAAAUACAAAAAAAUUUAAAAAAACAUUUUUGUGCAUACGGCCAAGUGUCUCAAAUCUAAAUUAUCAUAUCGUAUUUUUCAUGUAAAAAAAAAACAAUAUUUUAGCAUGCAUUUUGGCUUUAAUAACCAGUUUAUUAAAGUCAAGAGAACAUUGGCCAAAAUCUCAAAAACAACAAAAUAUUUUAUUUUGUUUGAUUUUAGUAUCAAGGAUUAUGAAUUUAUACGUAAAUCGUAUUCCUGAUAAAAAAAAAAUAUUUUCUUUUGACGACUUCGAAUAGUUAGUUUUUUACCCGAUAAAGAUAAGGAUCUCCUUACAGAGGAGGACUUUUCUUAAACCGUAAACGAACCAACAAUUCAAAAACCACAACACGAUUUUAGAUUUUAUCAGACAUUAAAACAAUGCAGCCUACCUUAGGUAGGGCGUAGUUGGGGUGCUAAUACCUUCCCUUUACGCAACCAGUCUCCGUUCCCGAUCUCUAACGACCAGUUAAGGUUCCUAGUAACCAGAAUACUAGGUGGCGACUCCCAUUCUAAUUUUUCACUUGUAGAGACAAGAAUUUCCUUGUCUCUCUUCCUAUUUUCCAGGAAUAAAUUAUUCUGAUUUUCCCUUGAGGGUGGACGAUCGUCGCGCCGCCGCACACGUGCGACAAAGUGGUUGCAGUUUCUCGAGAAUAACAUUUUUAACACCUGCAUUUUACUUCGAUCAUGUUCAUUGCAUGUUUGUCGAAGCAGUAUUCUUAUUGCCAUGUGUUAUAUAUUCCUAAGCAUUCACAAUACUUGCAUCUGGGAGGUUUCCAUUCAUACUCAACACCUACUCUAUAGAAACUAUGCUCAUCUUCAACAAGAACAUCAGAUGGUAACUCCGAAUGACCGUUCACUUGGACACAAAUUCUUGGAAAUUGAAGUCUUCCACUUGAAGGAGCUAAUAAUUUCUCUGUGAACGAAGGCUUUCCAACCGCACUUGCUAUCGGAGCAAGAGCAUGAGGAGAAGGCCACAAUUGCAUAUUCAAGUCGCUUAAUUUAAUCCAAAUAGGCAUAGACACCACAUAUUGCUUUCUCAAACUCAGAUCAGUUUUCCAAGGCUUCAAAAAAACCAAGGAGCCUGGUCUAAAACUUGCUGCCUGCUUUCUAAAGUUUCAAAAACAAAGUUAAAAAACUCUGGAUUGUAGUGAAUGGAACUUAAGUGUAAAUUUAAAAUAUUUACAUAAAUAUAUUAAUGGAAUUUAAUGUAACUUGAUAUUAUAGUUAUGGGUAAUUUUAAAAAAUAUUUUUUAUUUUGUAACAAGUUCUUGCUGUAGUUUUUGCAUCGAUUCAUUGCAGGUAAUUUCUUGGAGGCAUUAGAUAAUACCUGGUUAAGUCAAUUCUAAAAUUUUGAAAACAAUUGUUUAAAAAAUGUAGUUUUAGUUUAUUAAAAUUUGUUUAGAAAAAAAAAACUAAAAUGAUGUAAUUUUAGGAUAAACUAGAUCAACGCACCAACUUAUGAGUUGAUUCUUCCAAACAUCACUGUGUCUUGAACACGUCUUAUAACUAUAAAAUAUAUAAAACUAAAAGGUAUUGGUUUUUUAUUAUAGCUAAUAUUAUUCAGACACUCACAAAACAUUGUGGAACUCUUAUGCACUUCUUAGUAAUUCAUUUUGGUCUUCAAAGUUUAAUUUUGGGAUUUUAAAUCCUAAUUUAAAGUCAAUUGUUUUAGAUUUCCUAGCCAAAGGUGAAAUUGGAAGAAAAUAUGCCAUAAUAAUAAUAAAAAAAACAAAAACAAAACAUCAAACAUAGAUACCAUGCCAUAGAUUUCAGGUAAAUUAUAUUUAGAUCCUCAAAUUUUUAAAAUAACACAAAUUGUACAAUUUAGAUCCCUUGAAAUUUAAAACAUUUAAUUUUAAUACAAAAGUUGAUUUAUAUUAUUUUUCAAUCUCUGAUUAGAGAGAGGAGAGAGAGAAGGGUUGUUGAAUUCUGGUGAUGAGAGAGAAAUCAUUGUUCAAACCAUUUCUGACCACCAAAAUGAGUUUUUUUAUGUCCAUGAGUUCUAUGAUAUUAGAGAGGCUUAAUGGUGGUUUUUUGGUUUCUCAAUAUUUCAUGAAAAGAUAGAUCUGGACCAAGAAAGAUAAAUCUAAAUAAGUUUAAUUUCAGGUUUUUAGACCUCUUUUUGGGUGUUCUUAGUUGAUGGAUUAGUUUAUGGGUGUUUCAAGAAUGUCAGCAAGGUGUUUGUUUUUUUUGUUAAAAUGGCUUAAAACUAGGUUUUUUCCCAAAAAAAAAAAAAAAAGCUUCCCUGACUUUGCGGCUAUCAUUAUGGUGAUCGGAAACUAGGCUUGCAGGUGACACAUCGUCUGUGUAUUUUGUUUCAAAAAAAUAAGGGGGGAUGACAGGUCAUCCGUCUCUUUAGAAAAUUAAAAAAAAAAAAAAUUGGGUCUGCGGGCUUGGGCUUAAAGGCCCACCUAUGUGCUAGGGCUUUUCCUUGCAAUGUCUACGCGCCUAGGCUAUUUGUUUUGCCCUUUUUUUAAUAUUGUUCAUCUAUGAUUUUUUUUAUUUUCUUAUUUAACCUUGUUUGGAUAGAUAUUUUUAUAAAAAUAUUUUGUAUGUGUUUAAUUUUUAAAGUGAUUUUUUUAUUCAUCUAUAAUUUUCUUGUUUUUAUCUUUUAUAUAGAUGAACUUUAUUUUUAAAAAUAAAAAAUAUUUAUUUUCAGAUAAUAUUUCUAAUAUGUGCAUUCUUGCAUAUUAUAUUUUUUUUCUUUUAUUUUAUUCAAAUAAUUUAAUGUGUGUGUCUAUUUUUAUUAUCAUUUGAUUAAAUCAAAAAACUAUUUUAAUUAAUAAAAUUUAGCAAACACAACCGGGUAAAUGUUCCGUCUAACAAGAUUAAAUAUCUUGAUCUAUACUUAUCAUCAAUUUUUGAACUUUUAUUUUUAAUUAUUUUUUUAAUUUAUUAACACAAAUAGUUAUUAAUUUAUUUUAUUACAUGUAUGCAUAUAAUUUUUUAUUUUCACUUAAAAAGAAUUAGUUAUAAAAAUAAAUUGAAAAAACUUGCAUAUAUAAUUCUUUUUAUAAAAAAUAAAAAUAUUUGACUCGAGAUGAAAUGCAUUUACAUAACUAGUUAUAUAACUAUGUUGUAAACUGCCAUAAUUGAAAAAACAAUUAAAAGGGAAAGAAAAGAGAAGAGAAAAGGGUUAUUAUUUUGGUUUGGGCAUAACCCAACAACAAAGAAAACAAGAGAAAUCUAACACUCAUAUAAAAGCACAGCAAGUUAUAAUCUAAAAUUAUUAGCUAGACAAACCCAAAUUAAUCCUCCAUGGAAGGUGGAAAAGCCUGUAUAAGUCGAUAGAACCCAAUGAACACUAAAAUUGGCCAUGAUAGUGUAAUGGACUUGCUCUAAUGUUCGACAGCAAGCCAAUUCUCUAUCAAUCCACUUGACUCCUAGCCAAAAUUUAAGCCACGUAUCUAAAAAAUGGCAUGUGUUUUUAGAUUGUACGACAUUCAUGAUGUUGAAAGCUGAUGACACUUUUUCUUCAUGUAUGAUUGGUUUCGUCAAGUUGCUAUAACAUGGCAGGCUCUCUUUCUUAUCUAGUUUCCAAGAUCAACCAGUAGCUGGAGUUGUCUUUAAUAUUGUCAGCCAUGGACACAGAUGGCGGUAGUUCUAGUGAAACUGUACAGGUGAGAAACAAGAAGGUUAUGCUGAAACAUCACAUCAAUGGUUUGCCCAAAGAAUCAGACCUUCAUGUCACAACUGAAACUGUGGUGUUGAAAGUGCCACACGGUUCAAACACAGUUCUUGUCAAGAUUCUUUACUUAUCCAUUGAGCCAUAUCAGUAUAUUCGAUCAAGAAAGAUCGAAAACCCUGGUGUCUUCUCUUCCUAUCCUCCUGGCUCUGUAAGUGAUCUUAUCCUCUUUAAUUGCAUUUCCUAUGAAAUGAAGAAAAUCUCAGGAUUCUAGUAUAAAAGUUUCCUGCUUGAAAACUAAUGCAGGUGAUCACUAGUUAUGGAGUGGGUAGGGUUUUGAACUCUGGACACCCUGGCUACAAAAAGGGUGAUCUUGUUUGGGGAACAACUGGAUGUGAAGAAUACAGUCUGAUUACAGAACCUGAAGCCCUCUUUAAAAUACCAGACACGGAUGUGCCCCUCUCUUACUAUUUGGGUGUUCUUGGUAAGUUCAUACAGAAGCAAAAUCUAAGAAACUUGUUGAAAUGUUUGGGAACUAAUUGUGUUUCUGUGUUUUCUCCAUAGGUAUGCCUGGUUUGACUGCUUACGUUGGUUUCUAUGACUUUUGUGCACCAAAGAAAGGUGAAAAUGUUUUCAUUUCUUCAGCAUUUGGUGCUGUAGGCCAGCUUGUUGGGCAGCUAGCAAAAUUGAUGGGUUGCUAUGUUGUUGGUAGUGCUGGAAGUAAAGAAAAGGUCAGUUCAUUUGGGACUAACGUACAACAGAGAACAUAACUCCUUGUGAUUUCCAAACAGAGAAAGAUGUUGAAGCACAAGGAACAUAGUUUAGCAUUUGAACUUUUGUUUAGAAUAGGAACAGCUUUGUUGUCUUCACUUUCCUUCUUUUCAUCUUGAAAAUGUACCCAAGUUUCAAUAAGAAAUCUUAUUUUGUUGUUUCAAUUUAUUUUUUAAAUUUCUGUUAAGGUUGAUUUGUUGAAGAACAAGUUAGGGUUUGACGACGCUUUCAAUUACAAGAGAAAAACUUGGAUGCAGCAUUGAAGAGGUCAGGUUUUGCUUUAGUUUAGCUUAAUUUGCAAGUCCUUGAUUAGUGUAGAUGCAGUCCAAUUGCAAAAAGACAUCCAUCUUAUCCUAAUAGCAGUAAAUUCUGAAGAUAAUACUAUAGCAUGCUGUUUCUAGUAAAUUUUAGGCCACAUUCUCAUUCUGGACAGACAAGUACUGUCAGCUUCAAAUUCUGAGUCUACAAUUUUUUUUUUGCUACUGCUUUCUGGUUGAUUCCAGGUACUUUCCUGGAGGCAUUGACAUUUUCUUUGAUAAUGUUGGUGGAAAGAUAAUUGAUGCAGUUCUAUUAAACAUGAGGCUCUGUUAGACAAUUGAUAUUUUUUAACUCUAGUGUUUCAUGUUGUUUAAUUGUUAUUUAAGUAUUGUCUGUUUUUUUUUUUUCAUUUUUAUUUUGAUUUUGUCAAAAUAAAUCCCUUGUUUUUAUGAAGUUGUUGCUGAGUCAGUGACAGCACAUUGUCCACUACAAUUAGUGGCUGUUAACUAGGGAGGUUUGUUAAGUUUUCUCAUGUAUUUAAAGACAUGCAGUUAAUGAAAUACUCACUGAGACAUUUUAUCAAACACCUUGUGUGUAAUUCGUGUUCUUCAAUACUCAGCAUUGUUGUUCUUGAUUGUGCAUCCCUUCACCUGCACAAAACACAGCAACAAAAUUAUUAACAGGCUCCAUGGACGCAUUGCUCUCUGUGGAAUGGUUUCACAAUACCCGCUCGAUGAUCCAGAAGGCAUAAAAAACCUGAUGUGCAUCAUCUACCAGCGGCUUCGUGUGGAAGGAUUUGUUGUCUUUGACUACUUUCAUCUUUUUCCCAAGUUCUGGGACUUCAUGCUCCCUUAUAUCAGAGAAGGAAAGAUAGCGUGCGUGGAAGACAUAGCUGAAGGCCUUGAUAGCUGCCCAGCUGCUCUGGAAGGACUUUUUACUGGCAGAAAUCUUGGAAAGAAAGUUAUUAUAGUCAUUCGAAGUUAAUGGUAUCUCUCAUUCAUUUUGGUAUCUUUUAUGUUUUGAAGUUGUCCUUCAAGUCUAGUACAUGCUGUUGGAUGAUUUUAACAGACUUGUGUUGUGAAGGUAAUUUCCUCAUUUUGUGUUUUUAACACAAGAAUCCUGCCGAUCAUGUUGUUUCCCUCGAUGAUCUUCUUAAAUGAAGGCCAACAGGUUCCUUUCUUGAGGUGGGAUGAGGACAUCAUGAGUAGGUACAAAAUGCAGCAUUUACCCUGAUGUGACAAAGCCUGCUUAUCAGAACUUGGCAUUAUAUGCAUUCCUUUUUUUGUUCACCAAUAUGCCAUUCAAACAGAUACCUCUAAUGCCAUGCUUUGAGAAUUGAGAGAGAGAGCCCUUGGCAUCUUUAUAUUUCAUAUAUAUGUACACAUGUCCAGGCUAGUGCUCUUAGUAAUAUCUUAUAUAUGUAUUGGCAGAUAAUGCGAUGAGUGGUGACGAAAAAGCAACAAGCAGGUGAUAUUGAAAGACUAUGUCUUCUCUGGUCUGCCUGAGAAUUCAGACAUGUAAUUUGAUUACCGGUACCAUCAAACUUAAGGUACCAGAAGGAACUCCUGGGAUUGUAGUCAAGAAUCUGCAUUUGUCAUGAGAUCCAGCCAUGAGAGGUAGAAUGCUAAAACGUGAAGGGUAUAAUGCUGAGUCCUACAAGCCUUGUUUGGUCUGUUGAUGACUUUAGCUCAAUUUUCCAUGCAAUAGUCUUAUUUCCUGAGCUAAUGCUUGUGUCUGUUUGAAAAUAUUCAGCCUUUAAAUGGAUAUGGAGUGGCUAUAGUUUUGGAUUCAGUGCAUCCAGAGUUCAAGAAAGGUGACCUGGUUUGGGGAGUGACUGGUUGGGAAGAGUAUAGUCUCAUUACAGCAACAAAGGGACUGUCCGAAAUUCAACACACAGAUGUGCCUCUUUCCUAUUAUACUGGAAUUCUUGGUUAGCUUUUUUUACUUUCUUUUUCGUCUCAAUUGCAUCUUUGUUAAGGUUAGGUUACUGUAGUGCUACUAAAAUACAUGCAUGGCUGGCAAGUGUGAACAGCAGUUUCCCUUUUGACAUCCUUAGCAGAUAUGAUAUUGUGCUAGAAAACUUGCAAAAUGUGACAUCUCUGUUUCUAUUGCCUUUCAAGUAAAAAUUUGGAUUCUGUACGCCGUUUAGUGACAUGGGAAUUGAUUUUAACGCUACAUUGAAGUGAAACUAACGGAUUCUUAUGCAAGUCUUGUGUCAAAUUACAGGUCUGAAAUGGCUAAGAGUCAAGAAGGUGGUAAUUUUAAAGAGUCUGGAUGAAUUCAUGUUGUAGAAUGAUAGGGUUUCUUAUGUGUGUUUGUGUGGUUACUGAAUUAAUUGGUGACGACACUUGGAUGCUUGAAAUCAUGCAAAUGCAGCCUACUGGUGGGCGAGGAGUUGCUAAAGGAUUGGAUUCAAGACAUACAAAUUUCAAGAACAACAUAGUCUUAUUACAGAAACACAGACACUAAUCGCAAUUCAUGACCACGAUUGGUCAGAACACUGUUUUGAGAUAAUAAAUAGGUUUCAAAAUCAAAUUAUUGUGCUUGGAGAUUGGUAAAUUGAAAUAUGUGCUGGAGUAGACUAACAAGUCCUUGCAUCAUCCUCUGGACUGGUAGCACCAGGAGCAGUAGUACUAAGCAGAGUGGACGAAAAGUUUGCACCAAAUACCGGGGCUUCAUCACCGGACAUUGCAGGAGUUGAACCGGAUGCUGUCGUAGACGAAGUAUUUGCAGCACCGUGUGCUGUCCCAAACAGAACGGGCAUGGGAAAGUCGUUUUGCGUCUUGGACAGAAUCAGAAUGCCCAAGGUGCAGACAAAAGGAGCAUCUAGAUGUGGGCUGCCAUUCAUACUCAACCUUUUGAUCAUAGCUGUAGCCCUUGUCAUCCUCAAUGGUGACUGAAUCAGGUAACAUCUUCUCAAAAUCCACUUCGACACAAACCCUUGCAAAGCAUAAUGUCUCUCUUGAUGCUGUCACUGUAUCAGCAAACAGAGGUCUGCCCACCAGACUUGCAAUCUUACCAAGUGCCUCAGGAGACCACAGAUGCAAUCUCAGAUUCGGUAACUUAAUCCAAAUCGGUGCUGACUUCAACUCGUUGAUUUCCAAGCUCAUAUCACGACUCCAUGGCUUUAAAAUAAAAGGUUUACUACCAUCAUAAAACCUCGGACCCUCACUCAAUACCAACUCCUUGCCACGAGCAGAUUCAAAAUCCAAGACCAAGACUCCUGGCCCUUUUGAAUAUACCUUAACAUUCCCAUAUUUUCUCCACUCCGAGUCGAUUAAAUUGUUGAUAAACUUGCUGAAAGAAGGUGGUCCGAAGGUUGAAUCAUGGCCAGGAAAAUAAGCAACCACAGCGUUUUCCCAUCUUUUAAACUCCGACGCAACAUCCUCUUCAUUAUUAGAGCGGACCAAUUCCUUUCCAUUCUUGGCCACAGGUUCUACGAACUUCAACUCCAUCCUCCUAUGCAAUCUGAAUAUUCAAGUAGCGUUGGAAAAUAGAAAGGCUAGACGAAAGUGGGAUCUGGAAUCAAAGAUGUGCUCCCUACCAUGCACGCACAUGCAUGUAUAUAUAGCCGGUAGGUGUUGGCGGGUAGGAAAACCAAGUACAAAGCCUAAGCUCAACGCUAACUAAUCAACAGUACAAAGACAAAGCCUCAGUUUAACGCAAACGAGUGGAGGUGGAAACGCGGAACAUGGAGGGGGGAUGAUGGGAAGCAUCGAGUGAAGUGCAUGUGAUGACCAUACUCUAUCUUAGAACAAAUAAAUAAAUAAAUUAUUACUUGAUAUUCAUUCGACUUUGUCUCACACCUGUUUGAUGACGUAGCGCGUGUUUUUAAAAUAUAUUAAUUUAAAUUUAUUUUAAAUAUCACAACAUUACAAUUAUAAAAUACAAUUAAAAUAAUAUUAAUUUAAUAAUUCUAUAAAGGUAAAGCAAUUUUUAAAAACACUUAGAGCCUGUUUGCCUAAGCAUUUACGACAACAUUUAUUAUUUAACAAUUGCAAUAUAUUGUUUAGUUAUAAAAUCAACUGUAAUUUUUAUAUGUGGGCUAUAUCAUUAUUUGUGUUGAGAACCUUGUAUUGUUGAAGUAGAAAUUACAUAUUUCUCGUUGUGUUCCUGUAAUACAACUUCUCUCCCACACAAUGAGUGUAAAUUAAUUCAUUCUCUACUGUUCACUUGAAUAAACAGUGGAGACACUCUUUAUUGUUCAGGUUGGACCGGAUUCGGUCCAAAACUAAAUGCGUUAAACUAAAUUCUACCCGGUAAAAAAAAAUUCAAUUUUUAUUUUUAUUUUUAAUUGUGUUUUUAUUCAAAAAAACUAAUGUUUAACAUUAUUCAAUAAUACUACAUAAAUUAGACGGAGAUCGCUUGAUGACAUAACAUUUGCAUUAAAAACCAUUAAUAUUAAUAUAUAUAUAUAUAUAUAUUUUAAUUAUUUUAUAAUCUCAAUUUGAAAAGCAUUCUUAAUGAAACACAUUAAAUUACUUUUUGUUCAAUCACAAUUUCAACUAUAGUUUUAACUAGGGGUGUUCAUGGUCCGAUUUCAUCCGGUUUUAACAUAAAAAUUCAACCGAACUGGAAAAUACUAUUCCUUGUUAAUAUAACCCGAACCGAACCGGUUUUGUUCGGUUUGGGUCGGUUUUUUAGCCUUAGAAACCAGAAAAACCAAAAUCAAUUAAAUAAGAGAAAACUUGGCCCAAUCACAAUCACUUGACAAACUUAGCCCAAUCACAUUAAAAAAAAUCCUUGUUGAAAACUUUGAACCCAAGCUCUCCGGUUGAGAUCUGAAAGAUUUCCCUUAAUUGAAUCAUAAUCACUGAAUCUAUCCAUAUUAAAACAACUACAUGUUAACAAAGAUUCCAAUAGCAUCCUGUAAAGUAGAGAGUAGAAAGACAACAAUAUAAGAGAAAAUGAGUUGCUUUAAGUCUUCCUUGUGCAUAGAAGAGAGGGAGAGGGAGAGAGGGAAGGGUAAGGCCACUGGAAAAAAGAAAGGGGGGAGAGAGCGGGGAAGGGGGGGAGGGAGGGAUGGGUAGGGUUGCUGAAAAGGAAAGGGAAAAGGGGGAAAAGGGAAAAAAGGAAGGGGAAAUGGGGAAAAGUUUUGGGGAGGGGGGCGGGUUGGAAAGUUUUGGGGGGAGGGGGGGUAAUUUAUUAUUAGGUUUAGUGAGGGUGGGUAAUUUAUUAUUAGUAUUAGUGUUUCCUGUUAUAUAUUUUUUUAAAUUCAAUUAAACCGGUUUGGUUUGGUCCGGUUUAAUCGGUUUAAGCCUUCUUAAACCGGAACCAAACUGAACCGGGUGGUUUUUUAAAUUUUUUAAUCGGUUUAUUCGGUUUUUUCUAUCGGUUCGGUUUUUUCGAUUAAUUUUUUCUUGGUUUAAUUGGUUGGUCAGUUUUUUUGAACACCCCUAGUUUUAACCAAACAUAUAUAACUACCAAACUAACCUUAACUAAAAAUAAUUUUUAUAAAACAACUUUUUUUAAACCACAACUAUAAAAAUUACCACAAUACCAUGCUUACUCACUUCUAAUUAAAUAUAUUAUAAGCAACAUUGAAUGAUUUAUAUUUUAUCUUCAUUGUAUAUUUAAAAAUGUUUGUUUAUUCAAUUGUGCUUAAAUCUCAUCAAAAACUCUAUAUUAAUUAAAAUAUAUAUAUAACUUUUUUUAAUCAUUUAUUUUCAAAUCAUAAACAAAGAAAAAACUGCCGCAAUCACAAAUUUACACUCAUUUCUUUUGCUUUUCUAGUAAAGGUUACUUUUUAUUCUUACAAUUUGUUACGAACUUGAUACGGUAGAAGUUUAAUAAAUUUAAACUCAAGAAAUGAAGAAAGAAAAUAUACUCUUUAAUUAUUAAGUUAAUCCCUUAGUCCAAAAUAGGGUUCAAGCUAUAUAUAAAAUUCAAAAUAAUGUCUAGAAAAUUAAAGACUAAACUGUCAAGUCAAACAGCCAAAUAUUAGGGACUCAUAAGAUAACUUAUCCUUAAGAUCGCCCACCUAAAACAUCACUCCUAUGACCAGUCGUCCACGUUAUCCAGUAACAAACCACUCUCCUCUGUCUACACUACAGAGACAAACUGAAGCAACAACUGUGAAGUGAAAAAUGGAGAGUGAUGAUGGUGAAGUGGUGAGCAACAAGCAAGUGAUCUUCAAGGACUACGUGCCUGGUGUUCUUAAAGAGUCAGACAUGUACAUCACUACCAGUACUAUCACACUCAAGGUCCCAGAAGAUUGUACUAACGGUGUUCUUGUAAAAAAUCUUUACUUGUCUUGUGAUCCUUACAUGAGAAACCGAAUGAGAAACUUUCAGGGCUCUUAUAUUUCUCCCUUGAAGCCUGGCUCGGUGAGUUACCUUAGAUCCAUUUGAGUUUUAUCACUGUUUCUCUUGCUUUUAGCAUGUUUUGAAGUAAAGAUUGCAUUUUUCAAUUUGUUUCAGGAAUUGAGUUUUUUUGUAAUUAAUUUUGUAACAUGGUUUUGUUCUUAAUUAUACAAUGAAGCUGUAGCUUUUGUGGAUUUUUUAUGUAAAUUUACUUGCUUUGAGUGGAUGGAAAUUAUGGAGAUGAUAGCUUACUUCAGCUCAUAAACUAAUAGAUUUUGUUGUUUGUGUGUUACUGAAGUAAGACGUGACAUUUUUUUGCUUCGAAUUUGGAUGAAUGUAGCCUAUUAGUGGGCGUGGAGUGGCUAAAGUUUUGGAUUCAAGGCAUCCGGAUUAUAAAAAGGGUGACUACAUUUGGGGAAUGACUGGAUGGGAAGAGUACAGUCUGAUUACAGCAACAGAGACACUAUUUAAAAUCCAUGACAAAGAUGUGCCCCUUUCCUAUUAUAUUGGAAUUCUUGGUAAGCCUUUUCGGCUUUUGUAACUGUUAUAUUUAUGAAAUCAGAUCAUUGUUGGUGCUAAUAAAUUGAUUGAAAUUUUUAAUGUUUUGUUUGAUUUUUUGAGAAUUCUAGAAAACCAAACUAUUGUGUUGAGAACUCGGUAAAGUUCGAGUUAUUGAAUGGGGUGUGGGAAGCUUACAUCUUUUAUGAUUUUGUUGAUGAUGAUAUGUGGCUCAAGAGAAAUGAGACCCACUUCUUAUAGUGUGCAUGGUGUAGGGCUGUUAUUGAUUCUUCUAGUCAUGUCAGGAUAUUAAUUUGUUGGCUAAAAUGUGAAGCAUUGUGUCCUGAGAGUAGACAUGCUUGCCUUUUACCUCUUCAGAUGCUUCUUUGUCUUGAUUAAUCAUUCGGCAUGGUCAAAAUUUUUAGGAACGCAGUUUGCACCGUGUGCCCAAACACACUUAGAUAUUACCGUAACUAUCAUUGGUUUCCAUUAUGAUUUCUUCUUCUAGGAAUGCCGGGUUUGACUGCUUAUGCUGGCUUCUAUGAAAUAUGCUCUCCUAAGAAAGGGGAGUUUGUUUUCAUCUCAGCAGCCUCUGGUGCAGUUGGUCAGCUUGUUGGGCAGUUUGCAAAGUUGUUAGGUUGCUAUGUUGUUGGAAGUGCUGGAAGCAAAGACAAGGUAUGUCUCCUUAGUGAAUGUUUAUGGUUAUUUGUGUUUUUCCUAUUUUAUUUGGCACUGCUUCUCGGUCUAAUCUGACUUUGUUGCUUUUCAAAGUCUGGAACAUAAUAAAACUUGGAAUUGCAAACCUGCUUGAAGAAUAAGUUAUUAUACAAAAGACAAACACUCAUUGCUAUUUAGAAAGCUGGUCGAAGGCUGCCAAAUGCCAAGCAAAAUAUAUUAAUUGGAAGAGCCAGAGAAAUAUGGUACAUGAAUGUUCUAUUCAAUAGGUUCCUGGGAAUUUCAGUGUCACACAAAUCUUAGACACCAUGAAACAGGGGGUGUUUCUUGCAUCCAAACAUAUUCUUCUCUUGAAAGCUUACUCUUCUAAUAAUGUACCAAUGAGGAUCUAAGUUCGUAAGUAGCCUACAAGUAAAUGCAUUCUAAUCAGUUUCCAAAAAACAACAUCUGAAUAGCCUAGAAAACACAAGACUUAUAGAAAACACCAGCAUUUGACAAAGAUUUUACAUCCUUUUGUCCAUAGAAAAUUUUAAGGUUAGUCCUUUUGUGCAUAUGAAUUUUCUGUCGUUCCAUUACUUGGAAGUUGCAAUGGACAGGUAUCUGGACAUCCAGUUCCUUUUACAAUACUCUGUCUAUUUCAUGGUUAGAAGCUUGUAAAAAAUCUUGACUGCAUCUACGGAUAAAAUUUUGUUGGACAAGGAUAUUGUUUCACACUUUUACUUGAUUUGAUUUUUUUCUUUCAGUCUGAAUUUUAGGGAAAAACACGGAUAGCAUGUAGUUCAGUAAGUGAGAGAUAUGGUGCUGAGUAGUUCUGUAUUCUGUCCUAGAUCUGUUCUGAAUACAUAUUUUCAUGGUCUGCAUCAACUCCCUAGGCUUCCCAUUACUAUUUCCAAUAUUGUAUAUGCUUACCUUUUUCGUGCAUGACAAAGUAGGUGAACUUGCAAGUUAUCAAAGGAUGAAAUGGCUCUCCCUUUGUGUCAUGGAAGUUAAAUAGAUAAUUGUCAUCCUAAUGUUUAUUUUUCUGUCAAAGUGAAGCAAGCAAUCUCAUUAUCAUCUUCUUUUUUAUUUUUGUUUUCUUGACCUUCAUUUCUCCUGUCCUCCUCUCAUUUCUGUAAUACAAGGUUGAUUUGUUGAAGAAUAAGUUUGGCUUUGAUGAUGCUUUCAACUACAAAGAAGAG
rnacentral:lncRNA from 1 species